rnacentral:rRNA from 1 species
UACGUAGGGGGCAAGCGUUGUCCGGAUUUAUUGGGCGUAAAGGGCGUGUAGGCGGUCCGCUAAGUCUGAUGUGAAAGCCCGGGGCUCACCCCCGGAAGUGCAUUGGAAACUGGCGAACUCGAGUCCCGGAGAGGAGAGUGGAAUUCCUGGUGUAGCGGUGAAAUGCGUAGAUAUCAGGAGGAACACCGGUGGCGAAGGCGGCUCUCUGGACGGUGACUGACGCUGAGACGCGAAAGCGUGGGGAGCAAACAGG